AACGAACGCUGGCGGCGUGUUUAAGACAUGCAAGUCGCACGGUGUCAUUUUGGUAGCAAUACUUGGAUGGCAUAGUGGCGCACGGGUGAGUAACACGUGAAUUACAUGCCCUGUAGAGGGGGAUAGCCUAGGGAAACUUGGAUUAAUACCCCAUGGUCUCGCAAGAGUAAAAGGUGGCAGCAAGGCUGUCGCUGCAGGAUUGGUUCGCGCCCUAUCAGCGUGUUGGCGAGGUAACGGCCCACCAAGGCUACGACGGGUACCUGGUCUGAGAGGACGAUCAGGCACACUGGAACUGAGACACGGUCCAGACACCUACGGGUGGCAGCAGUCGAGAAUAAUUCACAAUGGGGGCAACCCUGAUGGUGCAACGCCGCGUGGAGGAUGACGGUCUUCGGAUUGUAAACUCCCGUCAUCCGGGAGUAAGACCUGGGCAUUAACAUUGCACAGGGUUGAUAGUACCGGAAGAGGAAGGGACGGCUAACUUCGUGCCAGCAGCCGCGGUAACAC
rnacentral:rRNA from 1 species